AACGAACGCUGGCGGCAUGCCUAACACAUACAAGUCGAACGAGACCUUCGGGUCUAGUGGCGCACGGGUGCGUAACGCGUGGGAACCUGCCCUUAGGUUCGGAAUAACUCCCCGAAAGGGGUGCUAAUACCGGAUAAUGUCUUCGGACCAAAGAUUUAUCGCCUUUGGAUGGGCCCGCGUUGGAUUAGCUAGUUGGUAGGGUAAAAGCCUACCAAGGCGACGAUCCAUAGCUGGUCUGAGAGGAUGAUCAGCCACACUGGGACUGAGACACGGCCCAGACUCCUACGGGAGGCAGCAGUGGGGAAUAUUGGACAAUGGGCGAAAGCCUGAUCCAGCAAUGCCGCGUGAGUGAUGAAGGCCUUAGGGUUGUAAAGCUCUUUUACCCGGGAUGAUAAUGACAGUACCGGGAGAAUAAGCUCCGGCUAACUCCGUG
rnacentral:rRNA from 1 species